CUAACAUGCAGGUCGAACGGGGUCCAACCUUCGGGUGAAGACCUAGUGGCGAACGGGCNCANUUNACACGUGAGAAACCUGCCUUGAAGUCUGGGAUAAGCCAGGGAAACUUGGUCUAAUACCGGAUGCCUUCACAACUUCUUUUGUAGAUGUGAAGAAAGUUUUUCGCUUCAAGAGGGUCUCGCGUCCUAUCAGCUUGUUGGUGGGGUAACGGCCUACCAAGGCUUCGACGGGUAGCUGGUCUGAGAGGAUGGUCAGCCACACUGGGACUGAGACACGGCCCAGACUCCUACGGGAGGCAGCAGUUAGGAAUCUUGCGCAAUGGACGAAAGUCUGACGCAGCAACGCCGCGUGAGGGAUGACGGCUUUCGGGUUGUAAACCUCUUUCAGCAGGAACGAAAAUGACGGUACCUGCAGAAGAAGCACCGGCCAACUACGUGCCAGCAGCCGCGGUAAUACGUAGGGUGCAAGCGUUGUCCGGAUUUAUUGGGCGUAAAGAGCUCGUAGGCGGUUUAGAAAGUCAGGUGUAAAAACUCUGGGCUCAACCCAGAGACGCCACUUGAUACUUCUAUGACUUGAGUUCGGUAGGGGUGAGUGGAAUUCCUGGUGUAGCGGUGAAAUGCGCAGAUAUCAGGAGGGAACACCGAUGGCGAAANGCAGCUCACUGGGGCCGAUACUGACGCUGANGAGCNAAAAGCGUUGGGGAGCGAAACAGGAUUUAGAUACCCCUGGUAGUCCCACGCC
rnacentral:rRNA from 1 species